UCAUUCACAGCUUCUCCUUCACGCUUUCUCAUUUGACAACCCUAAUUCUAGAACCUGCCGCUGCAAUUCUUCUUGCCUUUAACCUCACGCUGUAACGGUGGAACAUUAAGAACCUGCAAAAGCUUCAUAUCUUUGGAUCCCAAAACCAUCGAUUUGUCUCAACCAAGUUCUUUUCAUGUUUGCUAGAUGUUUUUCAAAUCACAGGUUUUGUUUGAUUAGGUUGAUUCGAUUUCAUCUUUGUCACACUACGGUUAAGCAUUUUUUAUCAAGAUGGAGAAGCUUCUUGAAUGGACUGACAUACCGAAUUGAUGGAAACGCUGUAGAAUCGGAUCAACCUCCAUUGAUUGGAAUUUUGUUUUUCUAUCCUCUGUCUUGCCCAAAUAAAGAUUAGCUUUUCUUCUUCUUCUUUUUUUUCCAACCAAGUUAUGUGUAUACAUCAUCCAGCAAAUGUUUUUUUUUUAAUUUCUCCACUUGUGCUUUUCUUGCGCUUAGUGGAAAAAGCGUUUUACUGCGCCUCGAGCCUAGGCGCGCCUCAGGCGCGCUUUUUAUAACCCAGGUUACAUGUACCACCAUAAUUUCUGCUGAACCCUAAAACCCACCAUCGCAAAUUUGCUUUGUCUGUUCUUGAUCGAUUCCUCUUUGAUAAUCGAAGAAGGUCAAGAAGAAGAGGAAUUAUUUUCUGCAGUGAGAAGUGCUUAUGAUCAGAAGGGUUCAACUACGAUUGAUAACACAAAUAUGUUAAAGGAACAAUUUAACUCAAUACAGACCUUAUGUCUCCAUAGUGGUGGGAUGUGAAGGAAGUAGGAUGUAACUCAGCGAUGGGAAGAUGACGACGUGAAUGAUGAUUUGUCUUUUUAGUUAAGGAGGGAACUGGAAAGGGAUGUUGAGAAGAAGUGAAAUAUGUAGCUCAAUCGUCUAUGGUUGCUGCAGAUAAAAGCUUUAAAUCUGCGCACUUGAUUUCUGGAAGCCAUUUAUUGUUGAUGACUUUUAGAUUCACCGUUUGUCUCUUUAUUUCCAUGUCCAACGUGACCCGUGGAGGAUAUUUGGCCAACUAUUCCGUAUCGCCUCAUGUUAUUAUGUAGGCGUAUUGGUGUUGAUUUCUCAUUUGGCUCAAAGAAUCUUUAAAUCUGCGCACUUGAUAUUCUGACCCCAACUCACAUAUCUUUCUAUAGGCUGUUAAGUAUUAUAGAACAUGUUAGGGCUUAUUUUUUCUAUACUAGGUAUGGUUGAUCAGAUGUGAAGACAAAAUAAUCAGAUUUGAAGGCUACUGAGUAUUAUAGAAUAUGUCGGGGCUUAUUUUUUCUCUCCUAGGUGUGGUAACUGUGAAGAGAAAAAAAUCAAAUGUGAAGGCAUGAUACAAAUGGGCUAAGCCCGGCUGUUUGGGUAACUAUCAAAACGGGUUCAGGUUGAGUAAGAUAACAUUUUGUUAUGCAGUUACAUAAUAAAUCAGAUUGCUUUGGGUUAGGCUGAUCUCGAACAUUUAUAUAUCCUAGGUUUGAAAUUUUACUUUUGGUGACUUCUAAUGUGUUUGACCCGUUUGGCCAUUUCCCUUUUUGAAGUUUUUUUUUUACAUGGGAGAUUUAGCCAGCAACCAACUUAGCAUACUAUAGUUGGUUUCAUAUUGUUCUUGUGGUGUUCUAGCUGGUUUGGUUGGCGGCUUACUUGGUUUAGGUGGCGGUUUUGUCAUGGGCCCACUCUUUGGAGCUUGGUGUACCUCCUCAGGGAAGUGGCUAAGGAAGUGGAACUAAUGGUAAAACGUUUUCUAUUCUUGAUAUCCCUAUGGGUGUUAAAUGCUCUAAUUUAGUUGUUACCCAAUCUGAUUUAUAUCCUCAUGAUCCGUUCAAUGACGAUGUUUUUACAUGCAUUACAAAUUCUCAAAAUACCAUUGACCUGAGUCGUAUAUUACCAGAGUGGUGUAAACUCAAUGCUUCAGAGUAUGCGAAUAAAUAUUAUGGGAUUACGAAGAACCAAAAACAGGCAUCAUAGACUGCCUUUGUAGUGAUGGGAAGGCGGUUGGAGUGAAAGAUCAAGAUGAUCGGUUGAGGGUGAACGGAGUUUUUUUUUAGACAAAUUUGCCGAGCUAGAUCUGAAUCCAAACUUCUGCAUGGAAGAUGUGAGUGAGGACGAAGUGGCUCGGCUCAAUCCCUUAUGCACCAGAUGAAAACUUGGUAAAUACUUCUACCCGGUAGUUAACAAAAUCCCCCCAAAAAAAACUAAUUUUAUCAUUAAUUUCUUCAUUAUUAUUUUCUUUGGCGGGUUCGGUUUGGUCAUUAGUUCUGCGUUAUUUUCUUUGGUUUCUUGCGGGUAAUAAACUUCUCAUCUUCAGAAAUUAUUUAGUGCUAAAUUUCGGUGUUGUUGGUAAAUUGUUGGAAAAUUCUAGCAUGGUUUUUUUUUUUUUUUUUUUUUUUUUUUUUUGAACGGCAAAUUUGGAUCACUGACGGACCACUGAAGUAUCAUCGUGCCACCAGAGGAACCACCCAAUCAUAUCCAUCUCCACUAGACUCAGGUCUAGAAUUUUUUUAGGAGCUGGAGUGGUUUAAAUUUGGGGAUUAAUGUGUCAAAUCAAGGUUUGUAUAUAUUUUUUAGUAGUUGCUUGGUUGUGGGGUAAUAAGGCUAAUUUGUAGGCUUUAAAUACGAUUCAUGGAUUAAACCUGUUAAGCUUCUUUAAGCUUUUAUUUUGGCAGCCCAUCAUAGGCCCAAUAGGUAUGGGCUUCUUAUGCUCAUACAUGGAGCUUUUCAUUGUAGUAAACCAGGUAUUUUAUUUUCCUUAAAAUUUUUUGAUCUUUUCCUGUUUGAAUGUUAAUUUAUACUUAUAAAUUCUGAUAUUAAAUUAUUGUGUUUUUGCUUCUACUUCUGAUUGGUUGAUUAAAAAAGGUAAAUAGAUCAAAUUAAAGCCUAAUCUGUAGGUUAAUAAUAAUAAUAAUAACAACAACAACAACAACAUGGUUACUUUUCUUAAUUAGAUUUAUUUGGGAAGUCUAGAGUUUCAUGAAGUAACUUGGUGCGUUUUUGUCCCAAUAUCUCAACAAGCUUAGUAUCGACACCAAAGUUUAUAUUAUAUAGUAUCGACACUAAAGUUUAUAUUAUAUAUUUAAACACUUAUAAUUUGGUUGGUUUUUUUGUAGAGGGAACUCAAUUUACUAAGGGAAAUGUUUUUGUAACUCGAAGGAUAUGCAUCUUCAAAGGGACUCGAGUACUCGACUGUCUUUAAAUUGUAUAUCACUUUAUCACUAAUUUAUGUAACAUGGGACUUUGUAUUUUAUUUUAUUUAUACAUUUGAUAUUUAUCUUAA